UGAACGCUGGCGGUAGGCCUAACACAUGCAAGUCGAACGGCAGCACAGUAAGAGCUUGCUCUUACGGGUGGCGAGUGGCGGACGGGUGAGGAAUACAUCGGAAUCUACUUUUUCGUGGGGGAUAACGUAGGGAAACUUACGCUAAUACCGCAUACGACCUACGGGUGAAAGCAGGGGAUCUUCGGACCUUGCGCGAUUGAAUGAGCCGAUGUCGGAUUAGCUAGUUGGCGGGGUAAAGGCCCACCAAGGCGACGAUCCGUAGCUGGUCUGAGAGGAUGAUCGGCCACACUGGAACUGAGACACGGUCCAGACUCCUACGGGAGGCAGCAGUGGGGAAUAUUGGACAGUGGGCGCAAGCCUGAUCCAGCCAUACCGCGUGGGUGAAGAAGGCCUUCGGGUUGUAAAGCCCUUUUGUUGGGAAAGAAAAGCAGCAGGUUAAUACCCCGCUGUUCUGACGGUACCCAAAGAAUAAGCACCGGCUAACUUCGU
rnacentral:rRNA from 1 species